rnacentral:rRNA from 1 species
UACGGAGGGAGCAAGCGUUACUCGGAAUUAUUGGGCGUAAAGGGCGCGUAGGCGAUUUGAAAAGUCUUGUGUGAAAGCCCCGGGCUUAACCCGGGAAGUGCACAAGAAACUGUUGAAUUUGAGUUCCGGAGAGGAAGGCAGAAUUCCCGGUGUAGCGGUGAAAUGCGUAGAGAUCAUGAGGAAGACCAGUGGCGAAGGCGGGUCUCUGGACAGUUCCUGACACUGAGGCACGAAGGCCAGGGAGCAAACGGG